UUCCAUUACUCCAACGAGACAAAUAUCUAACCUCCCUGUCAUUUCCAAAGUGAAAAUUUUUCUCGGUAUAAUCAGCUGAUCCAUCAAACGAUUUAUUGUUCGCAAUGGGUUCGAUUUCGAGGGUCGUUGGAAUUCCAUUCGUUUUUCUCGCUUUCGGUGCUAUCGUCUGGCGGUGGAAUUAUCUUCGUAGCCCAGAAUGGUGGCAAGAGCAUCAUGAACAAAUGAAAGCCCAGAAGCAAAAUAAAACUUAGAAACAAUGAAUUCUUCUCCCUCUCCUUUCAAAGUAGUUCAAAAUCAUGAAAUCCUACUUUUAUUGUUAUCUUAUCUAGAAUCAAUGUUCCUUUUCACAAAUAUUUGGCAGUUUUCAUUUAUAAUGGAAGAAAGAAAAAUAAAAAAUGGUAUUGACUAGGAA